rnacentral:rRNA from 1 species
AUGUUAUUUAUCCUUGUGAUGGAUGUCUUGAACUCUUGUGAACUGGGCUGCUCAUGUGGGUUUGCUGCAACCAGUUUCUAUGCUGAUGAUGUAGUGAUGUUUCUCCAGCCUGCUGCAAAUGACCUCACUAACAUCAGGCAACUUCUGGACAUUUUUGGCCAUGCCUCAGGUCUUGUGACCAAUAUGUCCAAGAGCUCGUUACCCCAAUUCAGUGCAAGGAUGAAGAUAUGGAGGUCGUAUCCAGCAGUUUAUCUUGUGAUAUUAAGCACUUCCCUUGCACCUAUUUGGGUCUCCCACUCACGGUCAAGAAGCCUUCCGAGGCAGACCCCCACCCUCUUGUUGAUAAGGUUGCUAACAAUCUCCCUGGACGAAAGGCAUCACCCAUGA